rnacentral:rRNA from 1 species
GUGCCAGCAGCCGCGGUAAUACGUAGGGUGCAAGCGUUGUCCGGAAUUAUUGGGCGUAAAGAGCUCGUAGGCGGUUUGUCGCGUCGAAUGUGAAAACCCGGGGCUCAACCCCGGGCCUGCAUUCGAUACGGGCAGACUAGAGUUCGGUAGGGGAGUCUGGAAUUCCUGGUGUAGCGGUGAAAUGCGCAGAUAUCAGGAGGAACACCGGUGGCGAAGGCGGGACUCUGGGCCGAUACUGACGCUGAGGAGCGAAAGCGUGGGGAGCAAACAGGAUUAGAAACCCCGGUAGUCC